UCCCUGGUGAUCCAGUAGUUAAGACUGUGUACUCCCAAUGCAGGGGGCCUGGGUUCUAUUCCUGGUCAGGGAA
rnacentral:tRNA from 1 species